CACGUAGGCACCAAGCGUUGUCCGGAUUUAUUGGGCGUAAAGAGCUCGUAGGUGGUUUGUCGCGUUGUUCGUGAAAACUCACAGCUCAACUGUGGCGGUGCGGGCGGAUACGGGCAGACUAGAGUACUGCAGGGGAGACUGGAAUUCCUGGUGUAGCGGUGGAAUGCGCAGAUAUCAGGAGGAACACCGGUGGCGAAGGCGGGUCUCUGGGCAGUAACUGACGCUGGAGGAGCGAAAGCGUGGGGAGCGAACAGGA
rnacentral:rRNA from 1 species